rnacentral:tRNA from 1 species
CAUUGGUAGACGCUGCGGACUAGCUUUCAGAUUCAGGGAAACUUAGGUUGAAAAAAAUAUAAGCUAUCCUGAGCCAAAUUUUAUUUUUUAAAAAUAAAAUAGGUGCAGGGAUCUCGGUGGAAGCUAUCCUAACGCAAAAAAUUUUAAAAGUUAUUUAAUUGAAUUCUUUAAGUUAAUGAAAAAAAAAAAAAAUUUAUGAAUUUUUUUUUAACUAGCAAGCGGGGAUAAAGAUAGGGUCCAAUUUUCCAUGUAAAUUAGCAACAAUUAAAUUGAGAAAAAGAAAUCCGUUGGCUUAUUGCCCGUGGGGGUUCAAGUCCCUCUCCCCCC